UACGAAGGGUGCAAGCGUUGUUCGGAAUUACUGGGCGCAAAGGGUUUGUAGGCUGAAAUGUAAGUCAAGUGUGAAAUCCCCGAGCUAAACUUGGGACGUGCAUUUGAAACUGUGUUUCUUGAGUAUCGUAGAGGGUGGUGGAAUUGUAGGUGUAGGAGUGACAUCCGUAGAGAUCUGCAGGAACAUCAGAGGCGAAGGCGACCACCUGGCCGAUUACUGACGCUGAGGAACGAAAGCGUGGGGAGCAAACAGG
rnacentral:rRNA from 1 species